rnacentral:rRNA from 1 species
AUGCCACAUAACACAGCUGCCCCUUCCCCUAAAAAAAAGACUAGGGUUUCUCUGCCUCCCGUCGACGCCGCCGCCGGUCCGCCUCGUCUCCAGUGGCUUAAGGGCCAUGAUGGCAUGGUGGAUCCUGACCCUUGUCGGUGGGAGGGCUCCCUAUUUUAUGUUUAUUCGAGUUUUGUUAGGGUUUGUGUCCUGCUCAGGAAGACGAGACGACGGCGGCUCCAUGAUGGAAUAAGGUUCUCCUCGCCUAGCCCCGCCCUGGUGGUGCGUCUAGCAUCGUCAGUGGGCAUGCAGAGGUUGGAUCCUUCCGAUAUACGCAACUGUUCAACGGCGGCGGUUGCUGUUCUAGUGCGCUGGUCCUAUGGGUCUUAG